AUGUGGCCUGUAUUUGUUAUACCAUACAACCUUCCACCUUGGGCAUGCAUGGAUCAGUCAAAUUUUAUGAUGCCUUUGCUGAUUCCUGGUCCCAAAUCACCUGGCAAGCACUUUGAUGUCUUUCUGCAACCACUUGUAGAAGAAUUACUUGAGCUCUGGGAGGGUGUGCGUACAUAUGAUGCUCUUAGUGGAAAAAUGUUUGAUCUUCAUGUUGCAGUUCUAUGGUGCAUUCACGACUACCCAGCUCUAAGCACUCUUUCAGGGCGUACCACAAGAGGCUAUUUUGCAUGUAUUCAUUGUGACAAACACCCUCUUUCUUACAGCCUAAGGAGUAAAAUUGGGUAUAUUGGUCACUACCGUUUCCUUCUAAGGGGUCAUCGUUUACGGAGAAACAAUGAAUUUGUUGGUCUUCAUGAAAGCAAUGAUGAGCCAGGUAAAUUCUCUGAGAAAGAGUUGCAAGCAGAAUUGGAGAAGGUUAGACCUGGGAGACACCAAGAAAGUAGGAAAAGGAAGCGUUCUGACCUGGGCAGCAAGAAGGAUCAUGUGCCAAUUUGGGGCCGGAGGGUUUGUUUGUGGGAUUUGAAGUAUUGGGCAAAGUUGAAGCUGAGACACAAUCUUGAUGUCAUGCACAUUGAGAAAAACAUUUGUGAAAACCUCAUUGGGACAAUUCUGAAUCUGGAGGGUAAGACAAAGGAUACACUUAAUGCUAGGAUUGAUCUGAAAGAUUUGAAUAUUAAAGAAGAGUUGCAAUUGAGGAAGGAGGGAGACUCAUAUGUGAUGCCUCGGGCCCGAUAUACCUUGUCCAAAGAACAAGUGGUUGCAUUUUGUCAAUUUUUACGAGAGUUAAAGUUUCCAGAUGGGUUUGCUUCCAACAUCUCAAGAUGCACAAGUGCUGAUGGAACCAAGGUACAAGGCCUGAAAACACAUGAUUGUCACAUUCUUUUGCAGAGAAUCUUACCUGCCGGCAUGAGAGGAUUUUUGGACAAUGAUAUAUAUGAAGCAAUAGCUGAGUUAGGCAAGUUUUUCAGAGAACUAUGCAGCAAAACUCUUAAUAGGGAUGUCUUGGCUGAAAUGAAGAAGGAAAUCCCUGUAAUUUUGUGGAAGCUUGAGAAAAAAUUUCCGCCUGCAUUCUUUGAUGUGAUGGUGCACCUUGCCGUACACUUACCUGAAGAGGCAUUGCUUCGAGGUCCCGUAAAAUAUGGGUGGAUGUACCCAGUUGAAAGAAGGCUAUAUACUUUAAAGCGCUAUGUGAGGAAUAGGGCGCGACCGGAAGGUUCGAUUGCUGAGGCAUAUAUUGCAGAUGAAUGCCUGACAUUUUUCUCCAAGUACAUGGAUGAUGUUGAAACAAUAUUUAAUCGGAAACCAAGAAAUGUAGGUUUUUCAAAUGAAGAAGCCUAUGGUGUUGACGUUUUUGGGCAUGGAGUUAAUUUUACUUCAGGAUAUGAAUAUGAAUAUGUGCAUGAGCAAAAAGAAUUUGACUAG
rnacentral:rRNA from 1 species